AGACGUCCACAUUAGAUACCCCCGUAGUCCCAGCCGUAAACUAUGCGCGUUAGGUGUAUCGGUGACCACGAGUUACCGAGGUGCCGAAGGGAAACCGUGAAACGUGCCGCCUGGGAAGUACGGUCGCAAGGCUGAAACUUAAAGGAAUUGGCGGGGAGCACCACAACAGGUGGAGCCUGCGGUUUAAUUGGACUCAACGCCGGGAAGCUCACCGGAUAGGACAGCAGAAUGAUUGCCGGGCUGAAGACCCUGCAUGACUAGCUG
rnacentral:rRNA from 1 species